rnacentral:rRNA from 1 species
AGUGAACGCUGGCGGUAGGCCUAACACAUGCAAGUCGAACGGCAGCACAGUAAGAACUUGCUCUUACGGGUGGCGAGUGGCGGACGGGUGAGGAAUACAUCGGAAUCUACUUUUUCGUGGGGGAUAACGUAGGGAAACUUACGCUAAUACCGCAUACGACCUACGGGUGAAAGCAGGGGAUCUUCGGACCUUGCGCGAUUGAAUGAGCCGAUGUCGGAUUAGCUAGUUGGCGGGGUAAAGGCCCACCAAGGCGACGAUCCGUAGCUGGUCUGAGAGGAUGGUCAGCCACACUGGAACUGAGACACGGUCCAGACUCCUACGGGAGGCAGCAGUGGGGAAUAUUGGACAAUGGGCGCAAGCCUGAUCCAGCCAUACCGCGUGGGUGAAGAAGGCCUUCGGGUUGUAAAGCCCUUUUGUUGGGAAAGAAAAGCAGCAGGUUAAUACCCCGCUGUUCUGACGGUACCCAAAGAAUAAGCACCGGCUAACUUCGUG